rnacentral:lncRNA from 1 species
UUCAUGAGAGACACACAGAGAGAGGCAGAGACACAGGCAGAGGGAGAAGCAGGCUCUCUGAGGGGAGCCCAAUGUGGGACUUGAUCUCAGGACCCUGGGAUCACAACCUGAGUCAAAGGCAGAUGCUCAACCGCUGAGCUACCCAGAUGCCCUCUUCUUUAAAUGUUUAUUAGAGUUCAACUGGGAGGCCAUCUGGUCUUGGCCUUUUGUUCAUUUGGAGUUUUUUGAUUACUGAUUGAAUUUCAUUGUUGGUAAUCAGUCUGUUCAAAUUUUUUAUUUCUUCCUGAUUCAGUUUUGGAAAGCUAUAUAUUUCUAGAGAUUUAUCCAUUUCUCCUAGGUUGUCCAGUUUAUUGGCAUAUACUCUUUCAUAAUAUUGUUUUAUAAUCAUUUGUAUUUCUGUGAUACUAGUUUUUCUUUCUCUUAUUUCUGUUUUACUUGAAUCCUCUUUCUUUUUUUUAUGAGUCUGCCUAAAGGUUUAUACAUUUUGUUGAUCUUUUCCAAGAACAAGCUCCUGGUUUCAUUGAUCUGUUCUAUUGUUUUUUUUUUAAUUUUUUUAUUUUAUUUUUAUGAUAGUCACACAGAGAGAGAGAGACAUAGGCAGAGACAUAGGCAGAGGGAGAAGCAGGCAAUCUGAAAGAUUGUAGUAAUACUAUGCAUAUUUUACAAUCACAGGACCAUGAAACUAGAAAUCAUCCACAGGAAGAAAUAUUGAAAGAACACAAACACAUGGAGGUUAAAUCACAUGCUACUAAACAAUGAAUGGGUCGAUCACGUAAUCAAAGAGAAAAUUUUAAAAAUGCAUGGUCACAAAUGAAAAUACAAGAGUCGAAAAUCUUUAGGAUGUAGCAAACAUCUUGUGAGAGGGAAGUUUAUAGCAAUACAGACAUCUCUAAAGAAGCCAGGAAAUUUUCAAACAACCUAACAUUACACCUAAUGGAACUAGGAAAAGAACAAACAAAACUCAAAACCAGUAGAAGGAAAGACGUAAUGAUUAGAGCUGAAGCAAUCUUUCUGAAUUUGUUGAGAGUUGGUCUAUUGUCUAAUAUGUGAUCUGUUCUGAAGACUGUUCCAUGUGCACUUGAAAAUAAUGUGUAUUAUGCUGUUUUAGGAUGGAAUGUUUUGAGGCAAAGCAUCUCUUAAGUCUAUCUGGUCCAAUGUAUCAUUAGAAGUCACUCUCUUCUUGUCAGUUUUCUGUUUGGCUGAUCUAGCCUUUAAUGUAAGUGGGGUGUUAAAGUCCCCUAUUAUUACUGUAUUACUAUCAGUUACUUCCUUUAUGUUACUAACUGUUUUACAUAUUUGGGUGCUCCCAGGUUGAGUGCAAAAUAUUUAUGAUUUAUAUCUUUGUGUUGGAUUGUUCCUUUUAUGAUUACAUAGCAUCUUUCUUUGUCUCUUGUUGCAGCCUUUGUUUAAAGGCUAUUUUGUCUGAUAUAAGUAUUGCUACCCUGGCUUUCUUUUCACUUGCAUUUGCAAGGUAAAUGCUUUUCCAUCCUUUCAUUUUCAAUCUGCAUGUGUCUUUAGGUCUAAAAUAAAUCUCUUUUGGGUUUUCUUCUUUAGCCAUUCUGCCACCUAUGUCUUCUGAUUUGAGUGUUUAGUCCAUUUACAUUAAAAUUAUGGCUAGGCAUAUUCAUAUUGCCAUUUUGUUACUUGCUUUGUGGUUAUUUCUGUAAUUCUUCUCUGUUACCUUCUUCUGUUGCUCUCUUCUCUCAUGAUUUCCUGGCUCUCAUUGGUAAUAUACUGGAUUGCUUGCCC